rnacentral:rRNA from 1 species
AGAUUUCGGUCUCGUUGGUGACCAGCGGAGGGAUCAUUAGCGAGUUAAUUAUAAACUCCAAACCCAUGUGAACUUACCUAUUGUUGCCUCGGCAGGCUGUGCUAUAUGAUAUGGGAAGCUACCCUGCAGCUACCUACCCUAAAUAGGAGUUGCCCUAGAGUGGAGUCUUAGGACUUGCACGCUGGAGAGAAGCCACCUUAGGGUAUGGAAAGCCGUUUACAGAUGAGCACCGAUCUAAUAGCAUGCUAAAAAGCCUGCCGAAGGACCACUAAACUCUGUUUUAUACUGUAUUUCUGAGUAAAUUAUACAAAUAAGUUAAAACUUUCAACAACGGAUCUCUUGGUUCUGGCAUCGAUGAAGAACGCAGCGAAAUGCGAUAAGUAAUGUGAAUUGCAGAAUUCAGUGAAUCAUCGAAUCUUUGAACGCACAUUGCGCCUAAUAGUAUUCUGUUAGGCAUGCCUGUUCGAGCGUCAUUUCAACCCCCAAGCCCUAUUUGCUUGACGUUGGGAGCUUACAGCUGCUGUAACUCCUUAAAUUUAGUGGCGGAGCUAGGUCAUGCUCUGAGCGUAGUAAUUUUUUUUUCUCGCUCCUGAUGCUGGCUUGUAUCCUGCCGUAAAACCCCCUAAAUUUUAUUCUGGUUGACCUCGGAUCAGGUAGGAAUACCCGCUGAACUUAAGCAUAUCAAA